ACUACGGGUGGCAGCAGUGGGGAAUAUUGCACAAUGGGGGAAACCCUGAUGCAGCGACGCCGCGUGAGUGAAGAAGUAAUUCGUUACGUAAAGCUCUAUCAGCAGGGAAGAAAAUGACGGUACCUGAGUAAGAAGCCACGGCUAACUACGUGCCAGCAGCCGCGGGAAUACGUAGGGGGCAAGCGUUAUCCGGUUUUACUGGGUGUAAAGGGAGCGUAGCCGGUGGGGCAAGUCUGGAGUGAAAUGCCGCAGCUUAACUGCGGAAUUGCUUUGGAAACUGGCGAACUAGAGUGCGGGAGGGGUAAGCGGAAUUCCUAGUGUAGCGGUGAGAUGCGUAGAUAGUAGGAGGAACACCGGUGGCGAAGGCGGCUUACUGGACCGUAACUGACGUUGAGGCUCGAAAGCGUGGGGAGCAAACAGGAUUAGAUACCCUGGUAGUC
rnacentral:rRNA from 1 species